rnacentral:rRNA from 1 species
UACGUAGGGAGCAAGCGUUGUCCGGAAUCAUUGGGCGUAAAGCGCGUGUAGGCGGCUUGAUAAGUCUGCUCUGAAAGCCCGGGGCUCAACCCUGGGAGGCGGGUGGAUACUGUCGAGCUCGAGGCCGGAAGAGGCGAGUGGAAUUCCUGGUGUAGCGGUGAAAUGCGCAGAUAUCAGGAGGAACACCAAUGGCGAAGGCAGCUCGCUGGGACGGUACUGACGCUGAGACGCGAAAGCGUGGGGAGCAAACAGG